AACCUGGUUGAUCCUGCCAGUAGUCAUAUGCUUGUCUCAAAGACUAAGCCAUGCAUGUCUAAGUAUAAAUGUUAUACAGUGAAACUGCGAAUGGCUCAUUAAAACAGUUAUAGUUUAUUUGAUAAUCAAAUUUACAUGGAUAACCGUGGUAAUUCUAGAGCUAAUACAUGCUGUUAAGCCUGACUUUUAGGAAGGGCUGUAUUUAUUAGAUAACAAACCAAUAUUCCUUGUGUCUAUUGUGACGAUUCAUAAUAACUGAUCGAAUCGCAUGGGCUUUGCCCGCGAUACAUCAUUCAAGUUUCUGCCCCAUCAGCUAGAUGGUAGUGUAUGGACUACCAUGGCGUUCACGAGUAACGGAGGAUUAGGGUUCGAUUCCGGAGAGGGAGCUGAGAAACGGCUACCACAUCUAAGGAAGGCAGCAGGCGCGUAAAUUACCCAAUCCUGACUCAGGGAGGUAGUGACAAGAAAUAACGGACCGAAGCNUAUGUUUCGGGAUUGCAAUGAGUAGAAUUUAAACCCCUUUACGAGGAUCAAUUGGAGGGCAAGUCUGGUGCCAGCAGCCGCGGUAAUUCCAGCUCCAAUAGCGUAUAUUAAAGUUGUUGCAGUUAAAAAGCUCGUAGUUGGAUUUCUGGGAGGGUGCCGAUGUCGUCUUGUUGAUUGUGCAGAGGCGCCCUUCCAUCCUUCUGUUAACGUUUCUGAUAUUCAUUUAUUGGUCUCGGGCUCAGAUAUUUUACCUUGAGAAAAUUAGAGUGUUCCAGGCAGGCUCGCGCCGGAAUACAUUAGCAUGGAAUAAUAGAAUAGGACUUUAGUCUCCUUUGUUGGUUUGAGGGACUGAAGUAAUGAUUAAUAGGGAUAGUUGGGGGCAUUAGUAUUUAAUUGUCAGAGGUGAAAUUCUCGGAUUUGUUAAAGACUAACUUAUGCGAAAGCAUUUGCCAAGGAUGUUUUCAUUAAUCAAGAACGAAAGUUAGGGGAUCAAAGACGAUCAGAUACCGUCCUAGUCUUAACCAUAAACUAUGCCGACUAGAGAUCGGAGGCGCGCCUUAUCCGCCUUCGGCACCUUAUGAGAAAUCAAAGUCUUUGGGUUCUGGGGGGAGUAUGGUCGCUAGGCUGAAACUUAAAGGAAUUGACGGAAGGGCACCACCAGGAGUGGAGCUUGCGGCUCAAUUUGACUCAACACGGG
rnacentral:rRNA from 1 species